ACGCUAGCUACAGGCUUAACACAUGCAAGUCGAGGGCAGCGGGUUGAAAGCUUGCUUUCAAUGCCGGCGAUCGGCGCACGGGUGCGUAACGCGUAUCAAACCUGCCUCAUACUCGGGGAUAGCCUUGCGAAAGUAAGAUUAAUACCCGAUGUUGUUGCUUUCUCGCAUGGGAGAGUAACCAAAGAUUUAUCGGUAUGAGAUGGUGAUGCGUCCGAUUAGGUAGUAGGCGGGGUAACGGCCCACCUAGCCUUCGAUCGGUAGGGGUUCUGAGAGGAAGGUCCCCCACACUGGAACUGAGACACGGUCCAGACUCCUACGGGAGGCAGCAGUGAGGAAUAUUGGUCAAUGGGCGAGAGCCUGAACCAGCCAAGUAGCGUGCAGGAUGACGGCCCUCCGGGUUGUAAACUGCUUUUAGUUGGGAAUAAAAAAAGGGACUUGUCCCUUCUUGUAUGUACCUUCAGAAAAAGGACCGGCUAAUUCCGUGCCAGCAGCCGCGGUAAUACGGAAGGUCCAGGCGUUAUCCGGAUUUAUUGGGUUUAAAGGGAGCGUAGGCGGAUUGUUAAGUCAGCGGUUAAAGGGUGUGGCUCAACCAUGCAUUGCCGUUGAAACUGGCGAUCUUGAGUGCAGACAGGGAUGCCGGAAUUCGUGGUGUAGCGGUGAAAUGCUUAGAUAUCACGAAGAACUCCGAUCGCGAAGGCAGGUGUCCGGGCUGCAACUGACGCUGAGGCUCGAAAGUGUGGGUAUCAAACAGGAUUAGAUACCCUGGUAGUCCACACAGUAAACGAUGUAUACUCGCGGUUUGCGAUAGAUUGUAAGCCGCCAAGCGAAAGCAUUAAGUAUACCACCUGGGGAGUACGCCGGCAACGGUGAAACUCAAAGGAAUUGACGGGGGCCCGCACAAGCGGAGGA
rnacentral:rRNA from 1 species